CGCAGGGCGGCAGCUACCAUGCAGUCGAGCGAGAACUUCGGUUCUAGCGGCGGACGGGUUAGUAACGCGUGGGAACGUGCCCUUCACUACGGAAUAGUCCCGGGAAACUGGGUUUAAUACCGUAUACGCCCUUCGGGGGAAAGAAUUUCGGUGAAGGAUCGGCCCGCGUUAGAUUAGAUAGUUGGUGGGGUAACGGCCUACCAAGUCUACGAUCUAUAGCUGGUUUUAGAGGAUGAUCAGCAACACUGGGACUGAGACACGGCCCAGACUCCUACGGGAGGCAGCAGUGGGGAAUCUUAGACAAUGGGCGCAAGCCUGAUCUAGCCAUGCCGCGUGAGUGAUGAAGGCCUUAGGGUCGUAAAGCUCUUUCGCCAGGGAUGAUAAUGACAGUACCUGGUAAAGAAACCCCGGCUAACUCCGUGCCAGCAGCCGCGGUAAUACGGAGGGGGUUAGCGUUGUUCGGAAUUACUGGGCGUAAAGCGCGCGUAGGCGGAUUGGAAAGUUGGGGGUGAAAUCCCAGGGCUCAACCCUGGAACUGCCUCCAAAACUAUCAGUCUAGAGUUCGAGAGAGGUGAGUGGAACUCCGAGUGUAGAGGUGAAAUUCGUAGAUAUUCGGAAGAACACCAGUGGCGAAGGCGGCUCACUGGCUCGAUACUGACGCUGAGGUGCGAAAGUGUGGGGAGCAAACAGGAUUAGAUACCCUGGUAGUC
rnacentral:rRNA from 1 species